ensembl:lncRNA
AUGGACUGGAGUGCUGUGGAUUACUUGUGGAUUAUUGUGAUGUUUUUAUCAGCUGUUUGGACUCUCAUUCUGACGGCACCCAUUCACUGCAGAGCAUCCAUUGCUGAGACACUGAUGCAAUGCUACAUUUCUCCAAACCUGAUGAAGAAACAAACUCAGCACAUUUCCAGAAAACUUUCAUUUUUAGGACGACUCCAAAGCUUUCCUACAAAUGUGCUCCACCAGAUGUCAGAACACCAGCGCAGUCAAGAACACGUCUGAUUGGAGCGACUGCGGCUCUAUUAGCUCCUGACUGAUGAUCCGGUGGGGCUGUUGCUGCUUUUAUUGGCUCCUACAUCACAGCUAGCAUGCACUACACUUCUGUCUGCAAACGGUUCCCUAGGGAGUGCAGUUCUCGCUGCACCUGUCCAUCCAUGAGCACUAACGCCCUCCCCUCGACUGAAGCGAGGAGGGGGCUGUCAGAUAUAUGGCUUAAUCUGCAAUCAGCAGGAUUUCUUUGCACUGCUAGAUUGACUCUUUCUGGGCACUGAAAAGCUUUUAGUAAAAUAAGCGAGAUGAUGCAUUACGAUGCAGUUUAGUAUGUUUUUUGACUUAAUAAACCGAAGGAAAAUAUGGUUUUAAGUUGUCUUUUACAUGCAUUUGCUUGCAUAUGCAAAAUUCAUUAUUGCAUGCUGUUGCUAGGGUGUUUUGAGUGGUUGCUAGGUGGUUUCUACCUGUCUUCUGGUGCAAUGUGCAUCUGUGGGAUUUUUUCACUGAACUGUUGUAUUUGGUGAACGCAACACCAAGCGCACUAGUGAUGAUUGAUUUAAUGCCAUGAAUGAAUAGACAAUGAAAUUUGGUAGAUUUGACGCAGGAUACAGAGACACGCCUUUCUAAAGUUCAUCAAGUUAAAACCGGACUGCUGUGACUUUUGUUUGUUCAGCUUAUGCUCAUCUGGUGGUUUUCUAGCAGGUCUUAACUGGUAAAGUGGGUCGGUCAGCAUGAUUUUUGUGAAGCUGGUUGACCAAAGUAGAUAUGCUGUUUAAGCUAAUUAAGCAGCCUAACGGGGGCAAACCAGCAGACCAACAUCUACAACAAACACUGGUGGCUUUACUGGACUGUUCGCCUCUUUCACUAAAUUAUUAAAUGAAACUGUGAAUUUCACAAACAGGCUUAUGAAAUCUGAAAAAGCAGAAACAGCUGGAGAAAUAAACUUUUAAGGAGUGGGUGUUGUGAGAACCCAAGUAGAGGCCCAAACUAAUAAAGAAACACAUACCAAAAAACCCACAGAGGACAUGCGAGAUUAAAAGAGGAAAAUUUAUAUUACCACACCACAGGAAGGAAAUACAGAUACUGAAAAGAUUUAAGAGAAACGAAUUUACUGAUCUACAACGUGAGAUUUCAAAGCUCCUCUACAGAAGCGCAGCUGUGAUCGCUGAAUACUCAUGUGUUUUGAAAAAUGUAUUAAAAACAAGUCAUCUCUAAAAUUAAAAAAAAAAUAAUAAUAAAAUAAGUUGGGAAACAACAUAACAAAAAUAUAACUUUUUUAAAGAAAAAGUAAUACGAGUGCAAUUAAGGCAAUUCAAAAACAUUUUUCUUCAACAUGCUUUACUUUAAAUGUGAACUUUAAAAUGAUUUAAAGACAAAUUGAAAAAGGGAAGAAAUGCAGAUGGAAAGGAACUGAGUGUUUAAAGUGAUAAUGUGGUUUAAGUUGUUUUUGUUGAUGUUUUCGUGGAUUGAUGUUGGUUCUGUGAUUAAUUGUUUUGUUACUCUAUUCUACAUCACUUUGGGGAAAAAAGGAGUCAUCUAAAUGUAAUGUAAUGUAAAUGUAAAAAUAGAUUUAAAAACAUUGAAGAUUCCUGCAACUAGUCUGAGCUUUUCAUUAAUCCCAUGUUUCAUUAAAUUAUUAUUCAUAGCAGCUCUUCACAUACAUCAAUUCUCCAUUAAAAAAAAAAAAAGCAAAAAUAAUGCUUGUUUUCAAACAGGUUUCUCCAACAUUUUCAUUUUCCAGUGGUUGGACAAACUCCGCCUCUAAACCCAUGUGGUUGGUUGGAAUGUGUAACUAUGGAAAGACUGCAGACGACUUUACUUUUGUUGAAAGGAAGAAUGAUUCACACACAAAAUAGCUGAUAAAGGAAUAAUUCCCCAUUAUUUGAGUACAAAAAAAGACAUGUUGAAUGAUGUGGUUAACCAAACAGCUGACAGUAGCCAUUGAACUGCUAUCGUAUUUAGAAAGUCAAUGGCUGCCGUCAACUGUUUGGUUACCCUCAUUCUUCAAAGUAACUUCUCCUGUGUUCAGCAGAAGAUAGAAACAUACAGGUUUGGACUGACAUGAGGGUUAGUAUACAAUGACUACAUUUUCAUCUUCAGGUGAACGGUUCUUUUAAGAAGGCUUUUCUGUACUCUGAAUGGACCUUAAGCAACCAUAACUCUUAAAACACUGCAAUGUUCUAUUAUUGUAUUUUUCUCUCAUUCUCACACAGACCUGUUUGCCGACACGUCCGCUGUCCUCUUAUAAUUCAUGGCCUGCUGUUUCUGUGGCCGUGCUGGAUGGGAACAUCGAUUGCAUUGACCACACAAUCACCUUUCAUUUCCGAGGGAUUGAGUGAUUGAAGAUGGUGUUGCAGUAUAAACAAGUGAGCUCAUCUCCCAGCAAACAGAAUCCUUUGCUAAUAUUUCCAUUAAGUUCCAUUGAACGUUAUUUCUGAAUGUCCAGUUUUCGAAAUAUUUUUAAAAUGUUUUAAUGUUAAUGGAACGUUCUGUUAAAUGUUAAAACGUUACUUUUGAUCUGAAAAUGAUGUAACAAUUAGCAACAUUCAAAAAAUGUUUUUGUAACUAAAACGUUACAUCGGCAAUGUUUCUGUUUGAACGUUUUUGUAGAAAAUUAUUAAAGACCAGAUAACGUUGAACAAAUGUUCUAUUAACAUUAUUGGAAGAAACAUUCUGAGAACAUUUCCUGUUAGAUGGACUGUUGAUCCAGAUGAGAAAAAAAAAAACAUCUUUAAGAUAGAAAAAAUCAAUGAGACUUCUUAAACAUCUCAACUGUUACUCCUAAACCCCCAUGAGAUUAAAUGGAGCACAAAUAGAGAAUAUAGCGAGCUUUCUCCUGCUUCAAUCUGAUCUCAAACGUUUCUCACCCAAAGACCAAAUGGGCUUCGGAGAAACAUCUCAGACAGAGUUGAUACUUAAAUAAACCCUAAGUGAGAACUAUUUAUGUUUAUGAGUUAUGAAAGAAGAACUUGAGCAAUAAACUCCUCCUCGGGGAGCAUCUUGCAGUCAUUAAUCCACUCCACACUAUUGUACCUGGCAGUGUGGCAGGUUUCCGGCUUGUCUCUCUGGGAUCCGUCUGUUUUCGCCUGCAGGCAGAAAUGAAAGAGACAUUCGACUGCAUAAGGAAAGAUGUUUAUUUGUUUAGUUGCGCAUAUGAUGUUCUAUUAUAGGCGGUCGAGGGAUAUGCUCCAUGUAUUUCAUAGAAAAACUGAUUACGGUGGCACUGCAGCAGCUGCUCUUGCUCAUGGAUUGCAUCAUGAUCAUUUCAAACGUCUCAUUUUUAUAUUUGCAAGAUGACUGGUGAUUUUCUAGGAUGCACAUUAUACGAUCUGAAAGAUGCUUUAGUCAAGACGGAAACACAUUUGUGCGUAAUAUAGCAACACAUACAAGAGGUGGUGCCUUAAAAUGCCAGCAUCCGUUUUAUAAAUAUAAACAUAUUAACACAUGCGUACCCUGGCUGUCAUUUCUAUAAAUGGCAUGUGUGAUUGUGGGAGAAGAAAUGAGCUUGCGGAUGGAGACCAGCUGCUGUGCAGCAUUGUAUCAUGAGAAACUGUACACCACAUGUUAUUGUUAAUGACGUCCAUCAAGGCUAAUAAUAAUAAUAUAAACAAGAAAAGAACCGCUUCCCAGCAACAAAUGGAAUUAAACUGAAUUCAAGGGAGUAUGACACCAGCUCCACCACAGAAACGAGGAGUUUCAGACUAGCUCAGCAAAUAGCUCUUGUGCAAUAUUCACAUUUUCUGUAUGCAUAAAUAUCUCAAAAUGAAAUAAAUAACCAACCCUUAUUGGGGUUCUGUUAGGUUUUAUGUUGUUGUUCUUCUUGGGGGAAGAAAACAGCACCACCAAAACAUUGACCUGAUUCACCUUUAAGAGAUGCCUUUUUAUUUUUAUUGAGCAUUCACUAUUGCAAAGACAAAGAUUCAUACAUAUUUAAGAAGUGGCUAAUUCGUAUGAGUUUGUACAACCUCAUUCGUACAAAUUCAUACGAUUUGUGCUAAAUCGUACGUAUUCUAUGUAUUUUAUGAGUUGCACAAUUCGUAUGAAUUUGUACAAAUGACCUACACCUAGCCCCGCCCCUAAACCUACCCGUCACUGGGGUCUAGACAAAUCGUACAAAAUCGUACAAAAGAGGUUGUAAAAAUCUGUACGAAUUAGCCAGCUUUUAAAAUACGUACGAAUUGGUCAUGAGAUAGCAUUGGACUUUCAGACCAAAGGCAUUCUUGUACAAAAAUCACAAGAUACACAGUUUUUCACGGCAUGAUUUUACGGAAUUUAUUAUUUUAUUUUUUUUACUUGACCACGUAGGGCAAACGCAAUAUAGAUACAUAAUUAAAAUGUGAUGUGGUGUUCAGAAAUGUCCAUCUAGUGCAUGUUUGAAUAGCAAAUCAAAAACCCAGCUGGACACAAACGCACUUUCGUGUAAACAGUCGCUUAUUCACGGGACAGAGCGCUAGUUUAAGUUUCUCAACGUUACCUCUCAAAAACUGUUUGAUUGUAGGUAAAUAUCUACCAGUGUCUGGUGUUCUGUGAGUGUGUAUGUCGAUACUGAUUGCAAAAUUGCUCAAAAU